rnacentral:tRNA from 1 species
GCGUUUGUGGUUUAGUGGUAAAAUCGUUGCUUGCCAAUACAACUUGCAAUGGCCCCGGGUUCGAUUCCCGGCGAACGCA